GGGCCCAUAGCUCAGCGGUUAGAGCAGCUGGCUCAUAACCAGUUGGUCACAGGUUCGAAUCCUGUUGGGCCCACCA
rnacentral:tRNA from 1 species